AUAUGCCUGGCUCCCUGUAUGCCAUACACUAAGUUCAUCGAUCUUCGGCGACCUCCGUGGAUGGCGUAUGAGGAGCCAAGCAUAA
rfam:Brassica napus, WGS project CCCW01000000 data, contig: 10185